rnacentral:Y_RNA from 1 species
GGCUGGUCCAGUGGUCAUGGGUUAUCAGAACUUGUUAACAUUAGCAUCACUAAAGUUGGUAUACAACUCCCCACUGCUACACUUGACUGGCUUAAC